rnacentral:rRNA from 1 species
UACGAAGGGGGCUAGCGUUGCUCGGAAUCACUGGGCGUAAAGCGCACGUAGGCGGCUUACUAAGUCAGGGGUGAAAUCCUGGAGCUCAACUCCAGAACUGCCUUUGAUACUGGUGAGCUUGAGUCCGGAAGAGGUGAGUGGAACUGCGAGUGUAGAGGUGAAAUUCGUAGAUAUUCGCAAGAACACCAGUGGCGAAGGCGGCUCACUGGUCCGGUACUGACGCUGAGGUGCGAAAGCGUGGGGAGCAAACAGGAUUAAGAAACCC